rnacentral:ribozyme from 1 species
UUGUCAGCUAAGGAGACAGAAAAAUUAUCUACUGAUGAGACUUAGCCGAAACCACCUCUUUUAGGGGUGGUCUAGAU